AGGGGUAUAGCUCAGAGGUAGAGCGCUCGCUUUGCAUGCGAGUGCCCCGGGUUCGAUACCCGGUACCUCCA
rnacentral:tRNA from 1 species